GGGGAAAAGAAUAUCACGCUGGGAGACCCUCCUGGGUUCCUGCAUUCCUGGUGGUGUGUCUUUUGGGACCUCUACUGUGCAGCUCCUGAGAGGAGAGACACAUGCGAACAUUUCAAGCGAGGCCAAGGGCUUUCCAUGACUAUAGUGCCGCAGCAGCCCCCAGUCCUGUUCUUGGGAACAUGCCACCAGGAGAUGGCAUGCCAGGUGGACCCAUGCCCCCUGGAUUCUUCCAGGUUAGAU